rnacentral:rRNA from 1 species
GACGAACGCUGGCGGCGUGCCUAAUACAUGCAAGUCGAACGCAGUGGGGACGGGUGAGUAACACGUUGGUAACCUCCCAUCAGAGGGGAUAACACUUGGAAACAGGUGCUAAACCGAUACUGAUGGAUGAACCCGCGGUGCAUUAGCUAGUUGGUGAGGUAACGGCCCACCAAGGCCACGAUGCAUAGCGGACCUGAGAGGGUAAUCGGCCACACGGGGACUGAGACACGGCACAGACUCCUAGGGGAGGCAGAAGUAGGGAAUCUUCGGAAAUGGACGAAAGUCGGAACGAGAAACGCAGCGUGAGUGAAGAAGGUUUUCGGAGCGUAAAACUGUGUUGUUAGAGAAACGGUAUCUAACCAGAAAGCCACGGCAAACUACGUGCAAGCAGCCGCGGUAAUU